CUGACCUCAAAUCAGGUAGGACUACCCGCUGAACUUAAGCAUAUGG
rnacentral:rRNA from 1 species